AUGCUUUUUAAUGAUCUUUUUAUGGUUAUGCUGGCGAUGAUAGGUGGAUUUGGUAAUUGGUUUGUUCCGAUUCUGAUAGGUGCACCUGACAUGGCAUUUCCACGAUUAAAUAAUAUAUCAUUCUGGUUGUUGCCACCAAGUCUCUUGCUCCUAUUAAGAUCAGCCUUAGUAGAAGUGGGCAGCGGCACUGGGUGGACAGUCUAUCCGCCCUUAAGUGGUAUUACCAGCCAUUCUGGAGGAGCAGUUGAUUUAGCAAUUUUUAGUCUUCAUCUAUUAGGUAUUUCAUCAAUUUUAGGUUCUAUCAAUUUUAUAACAACUAUGUUCAACAUGCGUGGACCUGGAAUGACUAUGCAUAGAUUACCACUUUUUGUGUGGUCCGUUCUAGUGAUAGCAUUCCUACUUUUAUUAUCACUUACGGCACUGGCGGGGGCAAUUACAAUGUUAUUAACCGAUCGAAACUUUAAUACAACCUUUUUUGAUCCUGCAGGAGGGGGAGACCCAAUAUUAUACCAGCAUCUCUUUUGGUUCUUCGGUCAUCCAGAGGUGUAUAUUCUCAUUCUGCCUGGAUUUGGUAUUAUUAGUCAUAUCGUAUCGACCUUUUCAAGAAAACCGAUCUUUGGGUAUCUAGGCAUGGUUUAUGCCAUGAUAAGUAUAGGUGUUCUUGGAUUUCUAGUUUGGGCUCAUCAUAUGUUUACUGUGGGCUUAGACGUUGAUACGCGUGCCUACUUCACCGCAGCUACCAUGAUCAUAGCUGUGCCCACAGGAAUCAAAAUCUUUAGUUGGAUCACUACCAUGUGGGGAGGUUCAAUACAAUACAAAACACCCAUGUUAUUUGUUGUAGGGUUCAUCUUUUUGUUCACCAUAGGAGGGCUCACUGGAAUAGUUCUAGCAAACUCUAGGCUAGACAUUGCUCUACAUGAUACUUAUUAUGUGGUUGCACAUUUCCAUUAUGUACUUUGUAUGGGAGCCUUUUUUGCUUUAUUUGCUGGAUUUUACUAUUGGGUGGGUAAAAUCUUUGGUCGGACACAUCCUGAAACUUUAGGCCAAAUCCAUUUUUGGAUCACUUUUUUCGGGGUUAAUCUGACCUUCUUUCCCAUGCAUUUCUUAGGGCUGUCGGGUAUGCCAUGUCGCAUUCCAGAUUAUCCAGAUGCUUACGCCGGAUGGAAUGCUCUGAGCAGUUUCGGUUCUUAUAUAUCUGUAGUUGGGAUUCGUCAUUUCUUCGUAGUUGUCGCAAUCACUUCAAGAAGUGGAAAGAACAAAAAAUGUGCGGAAAGUCCUUGGGCUGUUGAACAGAAUCCAACCACACUAGAAUGGUUGGUACAAAGCCCUCCGGCCUUUCAUACUUUUGGAGAACUUCCUGCGGUAAAAGAGACAAAAACCUAG
rnacentral:rRNA from 1 species